GCGAAUAUGGCGCAAUGGGAGCGCUACCACUACCAAUUAUUUGCUUGAUUGUUUACAAGUUCCAAAAUCGUCUGUAAUGGGUUCGACUCCCUGUAUUCGUU